CCUACGGGUGGCAGCAGUGAGGAAUAUUGGUCAAUGGACGAGAGUCUGAACCAGCCAAGUAGCGUGAAGGAUGACUGCCCUAUGGGUUGUAAACUUCUUUUAUAUGGGAAUAAAACGUUCCACGUGUGGGAUUUUGUAUGUACCAUCUGAAUAAGGAUCGGCUAACUCCGUGCCAGCAGCCGCGGUAAUACGGAGGAUCCGAGCGUUAUCCGGAUUUAUUGGGUUUAAAGGGAGCGUAGGUGGAGUGUUAAGUCAGUUGUGAAAGUUUGCGGCUCAACCGUAAAAUUGCAGUUGAAACUGGCAGUCUUGAGUACAGUAGAGGUGGGCGGAAUUCGUGGUGUAGCGGUGAAAUGCUUAGAUAUCACGAAGAACUCCGAUUGCGAAGGCAGUUCACUGGACUGCAACUGACACUGAGGCUCGAAAGUGUGGGUAUCAAACAGGAUUAGAUACCCGAGUAGUC
rnacentral:rRNA from 1 species